GGGGGUGCACCGGUUUCGACUGGUACGGUUCGGGAUACCGGCUGCAGGUGGAGUGCCGAUCUCCUGAUUCGGCAAAAAAUUUAACUGCCAAUAACGACAGUUACGAUUUCGCAUUAGCGGCAUAAUCGCGUGGAACCGUUCCGCCGCUCUGAGGAACGUAUUCCGCGUCGCAAUCAGGGCUGGUCAAUCUUCGGUUCUGGACGAAGUGCGAUAAGAUAAUCCCGGAAUACGGAUUUGCCGCGCGCCGCGCAGCCAAGCAGAUCCCGACAAUAACAAUGCGCAGCUAAACCUGUAGAGGCUUGUAUUUCGCGUAUUAGGACGCGAGUUCGAUUCUCGCCACCUCCAA
rnacentral:tmRNA from 1 species